rnacentral:rRNA from 1 species
GGAAUCUUGCGCAAUGGGCGAAAGCCUGACGCAGCGACACCGCGUGGGGGACGAAGGCCUUCGGGUUGUAAACCGCUUUCAGCAGGGACGAAGCGAAAGUGACGGUACCUGCAGAAGAAGCCCCGGCCAACUACGUGCCAGCAGCCGCGGUAAGACGUAGGGGGCGAGCGUUGUCCGGAAUCAUUGGGCGUAAAGCGCGCGCAGGCGGCCCGGUAAGUCGGUAGUGAAAACCCGUGGCUCAACCACGGGCCUGCUGCCGAUACUGCCGGGCUCGAGGUAGGUAGGGGAGAUCGGAAUUCCCAGUGUAGCGGUGAAAUGCGCAGAUAUUGGGAGGAACACCGGUGGCGAAGGCGGAUCUCUGGGCCUUACCUGACGCUCAGGCGCGAAAGCAGGGGGAGCAAAC